rnacentral:rRNA from 1 species
AUUGAACGCUGGCGGCAUGCUUUACACAUGCAAGUCGAACGGUAACAGGCCGCAAGGUGCUGACGAGUGGCGAACGGGUGAGUAAUGCAUCGGAACGUGCCCAGUCGUGGGGGAUAACGCAGCGAAAGCUGCGCUAAUACCGCAUACGAUCUAUGGAUGAAAGCGGGGGCCCGUAAGGCCUCGCGCGAUUGGAGCGGCCGAUGUCAGAUGAGGUAGUUGGUGGGGUAAAGGCUCACCAAGCCAAAGAUCUGUAGGUGGUCUGAGAGGACGACCAGCCACACUGGGACUGAGACACGGCCCAGACUCCUACGGGAGGCAGCAGUGGGGAAUUUUGGACAAUGGGCGCAAGCCUGAUCCAGCAAUGCCGCGUGCAGGAAGAAGGCCUUCGGGUUGUAAACUGCUUUUGUACGGAACGAAACGGUCCUGGUUAAUACCCGGGGCUAAUGACGGUACCGUAAGAAUAAGCACCGGCUAACUACGUGCCAGCAGCCGCGGUAAGAC